rnacentral:rRNA from 1 species
CAGCAGCCGCGGUAAUACCGGCGGCCCGAGUGGCGGCCACUAUUAUUGGGCCUAAAGCGUCCGUAGCCGGGCUGGUAAGUCCUCCGGGAAAUCUGGUCGCUUAACGAUCAGACUUCCGGAGGAUACUGCUGGCCUAGGGACCGGGAGAGGCCGAGGGUAUUCCCGGGGUAGGGGUGAAAUCCUGUAAUCCCGGGAGGACCACCUGUGGCGAAGGCGCUCGGCUGGAACGGGUCCGACGGUGAGGGACGAAGGCCAGGGGAGCGAACCGGAUUAGAUACCCGGGUAGUCCUGGCGGUAAACGAUGCGGACUAGGUGUCGGGCAAGCUAAGGGCUUGUCCGGUGCCGGAGGGAAGCCGUUAAGUCCGCCGCCUGGGGAGUACGGCCGCAAGGCUGAAACUUAAAGGAAUUGGCGGG